GACGAACGCUGGCGGCGUGCUUAACACAUGCAAGUCGAACGGAAAGGCGCUGCUUUUGUUGGGUGCGCGAGGGGCGAACGGGUGGGUAACACGGGAGUAACCUUCCCUUGGCUGGGGGAUAAAUUCAGGAAACUGGGGCUAAUACCGGAGAGGAGCUCCUGCUGCAGGGGGGGGGUUGGAAAGUUUCGGCGGUGAGGGGUGGACGCGCGGCUUAUCAGCUUGUGGGGGGGGUAGUGGCUUACCAGGGGUUUGACGGGUGGCCGGCCUGAGAGGGUGACCGGCCACAUUGGGCCUGCGAUACGGCCCAGACUCCUACGGGAGGCAGCAGUGGGGAAUAUUGCCCAAUGGGCGGAAGCCUGAUGCAGCAACGCUGCGUGCGGGAUGACGGCCUUCGCGUUGUAAACCGCUUUCGCCUGUGACGAAGCGUGAGUGACGGUAAUGGGUAAAGAAGCACCGGCUAACUACGUG
rnacentral:rRNA from 1 species